rnacentral:rRNA from 1 species
ACACCUACGGUGCCCACUAAGUCGUAACAAGGUAACCAAUCGAAUUCCCGCGACCGCCAAUGGGAAUCUGUCUUAGGGAGGGGGAUAACCACGGGAAACUGUGGCUAAUACCGCGUAUAAUCGGAAGAUGAGAGGUGUGGGACUGAAGAGCCACAUGCCCUAAGGUGAGCCCAAGUGAGAUUAGGUAGUUGGUGGGGUAAGGGCCUACCAAGCCGACGAUCUCUAGCUGGUCUGAGAGGAUGACCAGUCACACUGGGACUGAGACACGGCCCAGACUCCUACGGGAGGCAGCAGUGGGGAAUAUUGCGCAAUGGGGGGAACCCUGACGCAGCCAUGCCGCGUGAAUGAAGAAGGCCUUCGGGUUGUAAAGUUCUUUCAGUGGUGAGGAAGGUAAUAAUGUUAAUAGUAUUAUUAAUUGACGUUAGCUACAGAAGAAGCACCGGCUAAUUCCGUGCCAGCAGCCGCGGUAAUACGGAAGGUGCGAGCGUUAAUCGGAAUAACUGGGCGUAAAGGGCACGCAGGCGGUAACUUAAGUGAGGUGUGAAAGCCCAGGGCUUAACCUUGGAGGUGCAUUUCAUACUGGGUUACUAGAGUACUCUAGGGAGGGGUAGAAUUCCACGUGUAGCGGUGAAAUGCGUAGAGAUGUGGAGGAAUACCGAAG